AACGAACGCUGGCGGCAUGCCUAACACAUGCAAGUCGAACGAGACCUUCGGGUCUAGUGGCGCUCGGGUGCGUAACACGUGGGAAUCUGCCCUUUGCUUCGGUAUCAUAGAUAGUAAUGACUGUUAAUACAGGAUGGUGUCGUACCACAAAAGAUGUCUCGGGACAGGAUGGGGGCGCGUAGGUUUGGGGGGUUGGGGGGGUAAAGGCCUACCAAGGCGACGAUCCUUAGCUGGUCGGGUAGGAGGACCAACCGCACUGGGCCUGAGACCCGGCCCCGACUGCGACGGGAGGCAGCAGUGUAGAAUAUUGGACAAGGGGCGAAAGUCUGGUCCAGCAAUGCCGGGUGAGUGAUGAAGGCCUUAGUGUUGUAAAGCUCUCUUUGCAGAGAUGUGAAUGACGGUACCUGGUGAAUAAGCACCGGCUAACUCCGUG
rnacentral:rRNA from 1 species